rnacentral:rRNA from 1 species
GACGAACGCUGGCGGCGUGCUUAACACAUGCAAGUCGAACGGAAAGGCCCUUCGGGGUGCUCGAGUGGCGAACGGGUGAGUAACACGUGGGUGAUCUGCCCUGCACUUUGGGAUAAGCCUGGGAAACUGGGUCUAAUACCGAAUACACCCUGCUGGUCGCAUGGCCUGGGUGGGGGAAAGCUUUUUGCGGUGUGGGAUGGGGCCCGCGGCCUAUCAGCUUGUUGGUGGGGUGAUGGCCUACCAAGGCGACGACGGGUAGCCGGCCUGAGAGGGUGUCCGGCCACACUGGGACUGAGAUACGGCCCAGACUCCUACGGGAGGCAGCAGUGGGGAAUAUUGGGCAAUGGGCGAAAAGCCUGACCCAGCCACGCCGCGUGAGUGAUGAAGGCCUUCGGUCGUAA